rnacentral:ribozyme from 1 species
CAGGAAUUAGAUAGGAGAUGGUAUGAGAGAGAUAGAGAUGAGAGAUGUGGAAGAGCGGUCUGGUCUCUGUAUCCCAUCCCUUUCUGUUUCUUUUCUUUCCUUUGUCAUGGUUAUAAUCCCCAAAUGAAGGGUUAACAGGAAACAGAAAAGGGAUGACAAAGGAAGAAGAAAGCAAAAGAA